UACAGGGGGGGCAAGCGUUGUUCGGAAUUACUGGGCGUAAAGGGCGCGUAGGCGGCCUGCUAAGUCGAACGUGAAAUCCCUGGGCUCAACCCAGGAACUGCGUCCGAUACUGGUUGGCUUGAAUCCGGGAGAGGGAUGUGGAAUUCCAGGUGUAGCGGUGAAAUGCGUAGAUAUCUGGAGGAACACCGGUGGCGAAGGCGACAUCCUGGACCGGUAUUGACGCUGAGGCGCGAAAGCCAGGGGAGCGAACGGG
rnacentral:rRNA from 1 species